rnacentral:rRNA from 2 species
AAGGCGAGGCCGAAAGGCGUAGUCGAUGGGAAACGGGUUAAUAUUCCCGUACUUGGUGUUACUGCGAAGGGGGGACGGAGAAGGCUAUGUUGGCCGGGCGACGGUUGUCCCGGUUUAAGCGUGUAGGCUGGUUUUCCAGGCAAAUCCGGAAAAUCAAGGCUGAGGCGUGAUGACGAGGCACUACGGUGCUGAAGCAACAAAUGCCCUGCUUCCAGGAAAAGCCUCUAAGCAUCAGGUAACAUCAAAUCGUACCCCAAACCGACACAGGUGGUCAGGUAGAGAAUAC